rnacentral:rRNA from 1 species
CGCGGCCUAUCAGCUUGUUGGUGAGGUAACGGCUCACCAAGGCGACGACGGGUAGCUGCUCUGAGAGGAAGAUCAGCCACACUGGGACUGAGACACGGCCCAGACUCCUACGGGAGGCAGCAGUGGGGAAUCUUGCGCAAUGGGCGAAAGCCUGACGCAGCAAUGCCGCGUGCGGGAAGACGGCCUUCGGGUUGUAAACCGCUUUCAGCAGGGACGAAAUUGACGGUACCUGCAGAAGAAGCUCCGGCCAACUACGUGCCAGCAGCCGCGGUAAGACGUAGGGGGCGAGCGUUGUCCGGAAUUAUUGGGCGUAAAGGGCUCCUAGGCGGUUCAGUAAGUCGACUGUGAAAAUCCAAGGCUCAACCUUGGGACGCCAGUCGAUACUGCUGUGACUCGAGUUCGGUAGAGGAGUGUGGAAUUCCUGGUGUAGCGGUGAAAUGCGCAGAUAUCAGGAGGAACACCAACGGCGAAGGCAGCACUCUGGGCAACAACUGACGCUGAGGAGCGAAAGCGUGGGGAGCGAACAGGAUUAGAUACCCUGGUAGUCCACGCCGUAAACGUUGGGCGCUAGGUGUGGGGGCCAUUCCACGGUCUCCGUGCCGCAGCUAACGCAUUAAGCGCCCCGCCUGGGGAGUACGG